UGGCGGCGUGCUUAACACAUGCAAGUCGAACGAUGAAGCCUGCAACUUGUUGUGGGUGGAUUAGUGGCGAACGGGUGAGUAAUACGUGGGUAACCUGCCCUCCUUUUUGGGAUAAGCCUUGGAAACGGGGUCUAAUACCGAAUAUUCUGGCGCUCUCGCAUGGGGGUGUUGGGAAAGCUUUUGUGAAGGGGGAUGGGCUCGCGGCCUAUCAGCUUGUUGGUGGGGUGAUGGCCUACCAAGGCGGUGACGGGGAGCCGGCCUGAGAGGGUGACCGGCCACAUUGGGACUGAGAUACGGCCCAGACUCCUACGGGAGGCAGCAGUGGGGGAUAUUGCACAAUGGGCGAAAGCCUGAUGCAGCGACGCCGCGUGGGGGAUGAAGGCUUUCGGGUUGUAAACCUCUUUCGCUAUCGAACAAGGCUCACUUUUUUGGUGGGUUGAGGGU
rnacentral:rRNA from 1 species